rnacentral:lncRNA from 1 species
CACCGUGGCAGAGCCUUUAACCAAUAUAAGUGCAUUAAACCUUUUUUUUUUUGGUUUCCUUAGACGAGCCUUAGGAAGGACUUGGACGGUUGAAUGACUGAUUCUGUUCUACUAACGAAUGACUGAUUCAUGCAGUGCAUAAAAGAGGAAACAUUGGAUGGAUGCGAUCUCCUACAUGGUUGGGUAAUUUCUUAUGAUAAACCAUGAAAAGUUCAUCUUGAUGCAUUUCUUUUAUUUUUCUCAACAGAUCAAACCAAGUACUGACAGGAUAAAAGCGAAGAAGCCGUAAGAGACCCCCCCACCCCCUUGGGGAACAAAAAAAAAAAAAAAAAUCAUUGGAGAACGAAAUCAUGAAAUAUUUCCUGUUAAGAUCAGACAUAAGGUGCAAGGCUUUUCAUUGAGCAUUUC